rnacentral:rRNA from 1 species
UACGAAGGGGGCUAGCGUUGCUCGGAAUCACUGGGCGUAAAGCGCACGUAGGCGGACUGUUAAGUCAGGGGUGAAAUCCUGGGGCUCAACCCCAGAACUGCCUUUGAUACUGGCGGUCUUGAGUGUGGAAGAGGUUGGUGGAACUCCGAGUGUAGAGGUGAAAUUCGUAGAUAUUCGGAAGAACACCAGUGGCGAAGGCGGCCAACUGGUCCACUACUGACGCUGAGGUGCGAAAGCGUGGGGAGCAAACAGG